UACGUAGGUGGCAAGCGUUAUCCGGAAUUAUUGGGCGUAAAGCGCGCGCAGGCGGUUUCUUAAGUCUGAUGUGAAAGCCCACGGCUCAACCGUGGAGGGUCAUUGGAAACUGGGGAACUUGAGUGCAGAAGAGAAAAGCGGAAUUCCACGUGUAGCGGUGAAAUGCGUAGAGAUGUGGAGGAACACCAGUGGUGAAGGCGGCUUUUUGGUCUGUAACUGACGCUGAGGCGCGAAAGCGUGGGGAGCAAACAGG
rnacentral:rRNA from 1 species